rnacentral:lncRNA from 1 species
GGCACAAUCUGAUGCAAAUACAGAAAUCUGGGUCCACCGUCAAUAGCGACAGCAACCGACAAUCCAAAACAGUCUACAUACUACUGUAAAAUAAACUCGACAUCUCAGCAUGAGCGUAAAUUCAUUCUACACUAUUCUGUAUAUCCACUGCGUACAAACUGCGGCGAAACAAACUAACUACAGCUCCUAAAGUUAAAUCUGUUAGUUUUCAAAAAGUGACAGUGUAGAAUCUGAUAGUUUUCUCCUAAGUCAAUUCUAAGUCCAACAUAUAAAAUUACACUACUAGCUUAACUCUAAAUUCAGAUUUAAAAUACUAAUCCAUGAAUUCGAGUACUAGCAAGAAAAUACACAGAUGAUACAUGUUGAUGAUGCUAAAACUUAGAAGAUAAUCCGACGAUUUCGGUAAACUUCAACCCACCUCGAAAAGCUAGUCUAACAACGGCGAGAAGUCGAGAGAAGGGAAAACACGUGCUCGCCCGGCCUCCAACGGCGCAACCGCGACGUCCACGCGCUAGAGCGGCUCCCCGGCGCAACGUCGACGCCGAUCCGAGCUCAAGCCGUAGCCUCCACCAAGCACACCAUUAAACUAGAAAGAGAGAGGGAAAGGAUAAUUAUCCUCAGGUGACCAAGUUGAGUGGAUAAAUAUAAAGAGGGAGUAGGUGGCAUGCUUAUCCACCAACCAAAAGACCAUUCUGCCCCUCACCAACUCAACAUCCCAGCUGGAGUACCGGUACCAGCUCGAUGCCGUACCGGUACUCAGCAUCAAUUAUCGCAACCCGAGAGCAGCAGUUCGAAAAAUACACUGGGGUAUCGGUACUCCCCUGCAUGGUACCGGUACUCAAUACUGAAACCUGCACUUUGCAGACUUCAAUAUCAAACUCUGCUCUCGCGUCGCACUGAGUCCGUUUUGCGUCCAUUUCGCGCCAAAAUGACUCCGACUUGUCCCG